rnacentral:rRNA from 1 species
ACGGGAGGCAGCAGUGGGGAAUAUUGCGCAAUGGGGGAAACCCUGACGCAGCGACGCCGCGUGAGUGAAGAAGUAUUUCGGUAUGUAAAGCUCUAUCAGCAGGGAAGAUAAUGACGGUACCUGACUAAGAAGCACCGGCUAAAUACGUGCCAGCAGCCGCGGUAAUACGUAUGGUGCAAGCGUUAUCCGGAUUUACUGGGUGUAAAGGGAGCGUAGGCGGUUUUACAAGUCUGAUGUGAAAGCCCGGGGCUCAACUCCGGUAUUGCAUUGGAAACUGUAGAACUAGAGUGUCGGAGGGGUAAGUGGAAUUCCUAGUGUAGCGGUGAAAUGCGUAGAUAUUAGGAGGAACACCAGUGGCGAAGGCGGCUUACUGGACGAUUACUGACGCUGAGGCUCGAAAGCGUGGGGAGCAAACAGGAUUAGAUACCCUGGUA